rnacentral:rRNA from 1 species
AGCAGCCGCGGUAAUUCCAGCUCCAAUAGCGUAUAUUAAAGUUGCUGCAGUUAAAAAGCUCGUAGUUGAAUUUCGGGAUCAGUACGCUGGUCGUGCCUCCGGUAUGUACUGGUGUCACUGAUUCCUCCCUUCUGAAGAACCAUCAUGCCAUUAAUUUGGUGUGGUGGGGAAUCAGGACUGUUACUUUGAAAAAAUUAGAGUGUUUAAAGCAGGCUCGCGCUUGAAUACAUUAGCAUGGAAUAAUGAAAUAGGACGUUUAUCCUAUUUUGUUGGUUUCUAGGAUUGACGUAAUGAUUAAUAGGGAUAGUUGGGGGCAUUAGUAUUCAAUUGUCAGAGGUGAAAUUCUUGGAUUUAUUGAAGACUAACUACUGCGAAAGCAUUUGCCAAGGAUGUUUUCAUUAAUCAAGAACGAAAGUUAGGGGAUCGAAGACGAUCAGAUACCGUCGUAGUCUUAACCAUAAACUAUGCCGACUAGGGAUCGGAUGAUGUUAAUUUUUUAAUGACUCAUUCGGCGCCUUACG